AGGAGUCACUUAUGAAUUCCUAAGUCUAACAGAUUUACCAGUGCUCAGCAUCGUUGUACACACAGGCUCCUCAUCCACAGGUUUAACAUUUUAAAAAAUACCAAAUUUUACAUCAUUAUUUCAUUUCAAACAUUACUAGAAAUGUCAGAGAAGGGUUCAGCUCACACCAAUAUCUUACAGGUGUAAUUGCCUUGUCUGUAAUGCGUUUAUAUUAGUUAUAAUGAAAUUACCUUUGACUUGCAUCAGUGUAAAUGGGAACAGAGUGAAGGCCAGAGUUUCCAUCUAAGUCUGUAGGAGCAAUUGUACUUUUAUAAAGCAAGCAUAAUUCAGUUGGCAUACAUCAGUCAGUUUAAUAAAAUAUAUUUCCUCUUCUUGCAGAGUUUGUCACCCGGACAUCAGCUGCAUUACACUGAAAUUGGUCCACGGUCAAAGAAUUAGGCCCCAGACCCCCACUCCUUGCAAGAGAUUUAAUUCUGUUUUUAAUUCUGAAGCUUUAGCAGUCUUUACAAAUCUGUGUGAGUAAGAACUGGAAAAAAAAAAAAAAAGUGUGCUGAAGCAACAGGAUUUGGCUCUACAGUUAGUCAUUUGUCUGAAUGACCUUGUUAUUCCUAUUUACCAUUAUGUAAGUCUGAGCUAAAGGUGUUUCGGGUUAUUUUAUUUAUUUUUUUAUAUGACAACAAUCUGUAUCUCUUCCCAGCACGUAGCUGCCAUCAAUCCCUUCUGUCUCGGCUUGUGAGUAAGAAGUAAGCAACCCAUGGGGCAGGAGAAGUCAUCGCCUGGCUUAAUGCUGGGAAUCAAGGCGGAGAUAUGAUUCAAAUGCCUCCUUAUUGUUUUUUGCCUCCUGACAUUUCCCAAUUUGCACUGUGUACUGCUGCUGCGGGAAAAAAUAGUAACUAAGAUUAAGCUAAGUGGAAAAGUACUGCUGCUUUUCCAGCGUCAAAGCCACGGAUCCUGUGGCAAUGCAGUCCCUGGAAGAAAUCAGAGCAGAAGUGUGAGGUAUUUCUCUUCAUAUGCAGAGAGUUCCUAAAGCCUACCCAUGAGCUCCUCGUUUUGACCCAGCUCUGUAAGUUCACCGUGUCUGUC
rnacentral:lncRNA from 1 species